AAAAAUGGAUCAGACCAGAGCUGUGUAGGGUGAAAAAGCUUUGCUUUUUUUUCUUUAAUGUCGUUGGCUCUGCACUUUCAUGGAGUCCGUAGCAUCGGUCGCCCAAAAGUUUCUCAAUUGAAACUUCCUGACUCUUUGCCGUGGCCAGCAGCUGCGUGUAUACAAGGCAAGGCAGCCGCUUUCUUCACCGUUCGACGAGGCGAAUAUAAAGCGGCUGUCUUGAUCUGUCACUUCGAAGGAGACGACGGUGAUUGGCUUCUACUCACUCGGGUGGCAAAGCAGAAGAGCAUGAGCCUUGUAAGAUGAAUGGAUGUUCGUAUCAAGCUCAUUCCUGGAGACUAUGGCAGCAUUUGCGUUGUACUUUGAUGUUCUCUGGUUGGAAUGGUUCAAGAAGAGAUUACUUUUUUGCAAAUAUCAAUCACCCAGCCUGAAAGUAAAGUACACUGCUUGCGUUAUCUAGUUGGAAAAUUAUCAAGGCCGAUUUUGUGCAGAUCUGAAUAAUUUGACCUGAAAGCCAAGCUUAUUCUUAAAUGCCUUUCAACAUUGUUGGUGGCUAACUCUGAUAUUGGAAAUCAACAAAGCUAAGCUAUCUUAUUCAUCUGAACGAGCAAAGCUUGUUGGCGGAGAAUCAGGCAUCGUAGCCCUUUUCUGAUAUUAUCUGGUUAGACAUCUCAAUCAUAUGACCUGAAAGCAAAGCUUAUUCUUGGAGAAACUACCUGCAUUUGAUAUUUAUUUGGUUGGAAUGGUUCAAGAAAAGUUUAACUAUCUGCAAAUCUAUAUCAUCUGACCUGAAAGGUAUGUGAUGACAGAAACCGAUAUUUUAGUAUAUGACAAUGCUGAAAAUACAAAGACCCUAAGGAUUUUGAUAAUGGAGAGCUCCUGCAACUCUGUAUAAAGUAGAGAGACAAAAAGCUUUGCCUGACUAUAAACGAAAGUAGAGGUGAAGUUUUGAGCCUCGAAACGCUUGUUAUGUUGCAGUGAUGUUUUGUAAUUUACUGAUGAAGAAGUUCAAGGGAUGGUCAAUCGUUUUGUUGAUAUGAUCUAUAAACGAUAAUCUCUUAGGUGAACCAACUUCUCGGCUGUUGAUGUAACCUUAAGAUCAAAGCAAUUUUUCUUGGUCUUUUGCAGGAACUUUAUUAAUCUAAGCGUUUGCAUUCGUUUUCAUAUCUUGUAGCAUACUCUGCUUGCAUAAGGAGAUUGGAAUAUUAUCAAGAUGGAGCAUGAAAAUCUAAAUUUCUGAAUCCUGAAAGCCAAGGUGUAUGUGAGUAGCUACUUUUGUAAAUCUGGCACCAAAAACAUAGAAAUUGCGAGGUAAAGUCAAUGGGGGCAUUCCGUGAAUCGAACUGGGAUCUCUUGCACCCAAAGCCAGAAUCAUACCACUAGACCAAAUGCCCUGUUUUCAAACAUUGAAGAGAGAAUGAUUUUAUCUUUGGAUCCAUUUUUUAUAAUACCAGUUCCUGCUCUCUGGUUUUAUUGUGCUUGAAAGAUCACCAUUGCAAUUGAUGGAACUGGAAUCAGAUCAGGAUUGAUUUGGUUAGAGGGAGAUGUGGAUUUUGCUUUAGGGAACCUAAGGUAGUGGAUCUGAUGGUAAGGAUGCAAUUUGCAUCUUGUUUAAUCAGUUACCAUUCAUGUCAUAUCUCAUAUCUUAUGUUUUGUUUUUUUCCUGAAACACUAUCAUAUCUUAUGUGUUUUUUGUCAACAUCUCAUAUCUUAUGUUAAACCAUUUGUUUUUCACCUUAAAUUCCUAAAAUUAAUAAACAUGUGAUUGUCGGUCUU